rnacentral:rRNA from 1 species
GACGGACGCUGGCGGCGUGCUUAACACAUGCAAGUCGAGCGGAAAGGCCCCAGCUUGCUGGGGUACUCGAGUGGCGAACGGGUGAGUAACACGUGGGUGAUCUGCCCUGCACUCUGGGAUAAGCCUGGGAAACUGGGUCUAAUACCGGAUAGGACCGUGCUUUAGUGUGUGCGGUGGAAAGUUUUUCGGUGCAGGAUGAGCCCGCGGCCUAUCAGCUUGUUGGUGGGGUAAUGGCCUACCAAGGCGGCGACGGGUAGCCGGCCUGAGAGGGUGUACGGCCACAUUGGGACUGAGACACGGCCCAGACUCCUACGGGAGGCAGCAGUGGGGAAUAUUGCACAAUGGGCGCAAGCCUGAUGCAGCGACGCCGCGUGGGGGAUGACGGCCUUCGGGUUGUAAACCCCUUUCGGCAGGGACGAAGCUUUUGUGACGGUACCUGCAUAAGAAGCACCGGCUAACUACGUG